UCAGUCUGCGCACGCGCACGGACUAUAAAACGCGGGUUCGCGUGUUCUUUCUUCCCAGUUCCUUCUUCCUUAACCAGGUAUGUGGGCUGUUGGACCACGGAGUUGUGCUGUAGUGCUUACUCAGACUUUGAUCAUACUGGAGCCGAAUGGAUGACCUCAAAUUCAUCAGACUUCGUUUCAGAAGUCAUUCACGCCUUUAAAACCGGAAGAAUUCUGGAGGACCAGAGGAACAUCACAUGAUGAGUGACCUUUUGAAUGGCCACGUGUGAAGGUAUUUUUCAGUAGAUCUUCAUUUGAAGACUGCACUGUCCAUGUGGAGAAGUUGAAGUACAUAAUGGCCCUUCAGUCCAGUGUUUACCAGUUACGGGGGAGAAAAAGCCUUUUAUUCAUGGGAGUUGAGCUACUGUCCUAACAUGGACUUUUUUUUUU